CCUACGGGAGGCAGCAGUGAGGAAUAUUGGUCAAUGGACGCAAGUCUGAACCAGCCAUGCCGCGUGCAGGAAGACGGCUCUAUGAGUUGUAAACUGCUUUUGUACGAGGGUAAACGCAGAUACGCGUAUCUGUCUGAAAGUAUCGUACGAAUAAGGAUCGGCUAACUCCGUGCCAGCAGCCGCGGUAAUACGGAGGAUUCAAGCGUUAUCCGGAUUUAUUGGGUUUACAGGGUGCGUAGGCGGUCGGAUAAGUUAGAGGUGAAAUCCCGAGGCUCAACGUCGGAAUUGCCGCGGAUACUGUACGGCUAGAGAGUAGUUGCGGUAGGCGGAAUGUAUGGUGUAGCGGUGAAAUGCUUAGAGAUCAUACAGAAGACCGAUUGCGAAGGCAGCUUACCAAGCUACUUCUGACGUUGAGGCACGAAAGCGUGGGGAGCAAACAGGAUUAGAUACCCGGGUAGUC
rnacentral:rRNA from 1 species